AUAUUAGUUGAGUUUAUAAUCUUCAGGAUGGGGACUUCUCCUCUUUGUUUUCCUCCAAGCUCGAUGGACACUGUAAAUCUGGCCAGCUAUUCAUAACCCAGUGACUUGCAUCUGUUGCAACAGCAGGAGGUGGAAAUACCACGAGCAAUACUGCUGAAUUUAGUGAACAACCUGGAGCGAGACAUUGGGCUGCAUGAACUACCAGCAAAAGCAAAUACUUGCAGAUCAUCCCUUGAAUUCAGAACUAGCCUAAAUCCACUUUGAGUUUACCUUAAUUGAGCUGCGAGCUGAGUGUCUGGACCAGUAAAUAGAGUUGAGGUGGGAGUCUGUUGCAAACAGGUAAGAAAUGCUAAAGGUGCAAGCAACCUGCCCUAUCUCUUGCUGAGUAUUUUUUUUCAGGAUUAGUUCC